UUUCUUUCUAAUGGCGGGUGUGGAGUACGUAGGUGACGGGUAAUGGACAAACGCGGGAAAGAUUUGUCAGGUGACGGGUAAUGGACAAACGCGGGAAAGAUUUGUCAGGUGACGGGUAAUGGACAAACACGGGAAAGAUUUGUCAGGUGAUGGGUAAUGAGACAAACACAGGAAAGAUUUGUCAGGUGGUGGUUAUAUGGACUGGAAACUUUGGAGUGUCGGGGUUCUACAAUCUUAUAAAUGGCUUAAAGAAAUUUCCUGCUGAAGAUUCCAUGUUUCCUAACAAGUAUUUUGAUGUAUUGGUGCCAUAUUGAGAAGGAACAUGCCUUGCAACAGUUUUUUUUCAGGAGUUUAGCUCAGAGUACCAUAGGCUAAUCAUAUUUAGUGUAUGCAUAGUAUUGGUAGUUAAUUUCCACCCUAAACCAUCUGCGACCACAGGUAAGUUGGCUAAAUUAAGUACAUAUUGAGAAAGGAAAGACUGGUGCUGUUUAGAUUUAUGCAUGAAUGCAAAACUGUACAUUUUGCUGUUCAAACCAAACAAAACUAUGUUAAAUAAAAAUGACUAUGAAGACAAUAAA